AGAGUUUGAUCAUGGCUCAGGAUGAACGCUAGCUACAGGCUUAACACAUGCAAGUCGAGGGGCAGCAUGGUCUUAGCUUGCUAAGGCCGAUGGCGACCGGCGCACGGGUGAGUAACACGUAUCCAACCUGCCGUCUACUCUUGGACAGCCUUCUGAAAGGAAGAUUAAUACAAGAUGGCAUCAUGAGUCCGCAUGUUCACAUGAUUAAAGGUAUUCCGGUAGACGAUGGGGAUGCGUUCCAUUAGAUAGUAGGCGGGGUAACGGCCCACCUAGUCUUCGAUGGAUAGGGGUUCUGAGAGGAAGGUCCCCCACAUUGGAACUGAGACACGGUCCAAACUCCUACGGGACGCAGCAG
rnacentral:rRNA from 1 species